GGGGGGGGGGGGGGGGGGGGGGGGCGCGGGGGGGGCGGGCGGGGGCGGGGGCUUCGGCGUGGCGGCGGGGGGCGGACGGGGGGGUAAUGCGUCGGGACGUGCCCGGUGGUGGGGGAUAGCCCGGCGGAAGCCGGAUUAAUACCGCAUACGACCUGAGGGUGAAAGCGGGGGACCGAAAGGCCUCGCGCUAUUGGAGCGGCCGAUGUCGGAUUAGCUAGUUGGUGGGGUAAAGGCUUACCAAGGCGACGAUCCGUAGCUGGUCUGAGAGGACGACCAGCCACACUGGGACUGAGACACGGCCCAGACUCCUACGGGAGGCAGCAGUGGGGAAUUUUGGACAAUGGGGGCAACCCUGAUCCAGCCAUGCCGCGUGCGGGAAGAAGGCCUUCGGGUUGUAAACCGCUUUUGUUCGGGAAGAAAUCCUCUGGGCUAAUACCCCGGGGGGAUGACGGUACCGGAAGAAUAAGCACCGGCUAACUACGUG
rnacentral:rRNA from 1 species